rnacentral:rRNA from 1 species
CCUACGGGUGGCAGCAGUGAGGAAUAUUGGUCAAUGGCCGGAAGGCUGAACCAGCCAUGCCGCGUGAAGGUCAGUGCCCUAUGGGCGUUAAACUUCUUUUGUGCGGGAGCAAUAAUGGUCACGUGUGGCCAGACGAGAGUACCGUACGAAUAAGCAUCGGCUAACUCCGUGCCAGCAGCCGCGGUAAUACGGGGGAUGCAAGCGUUAUCCGGAUUUAUUGGGUUUAAAGGGGGGGUAGGCUGUGAGGUAAGUCAGCGGUGAAAUGCCUCCGCUCAACGGGGUGAAGUGCAAUUGAUACUGCCUGGCUGGAAUGCGGAUGCCGUGGGAGGAAUGUGUGGUGUAGCGGUGAAAUGCAUAGAUAUCACACAGAACACCGAUUGCGAAGGCAUCUCACGAAUCCGCGAUUGACGCUGAUGCACGAAAGCGUGGGUAUCAAACAGGAUUAGAUACCCUUGUAGUC